rnacentral:piRNA from 1 species
UCUAGCUUGAAGUCUGUCUGCAGUG